rnacentral:misc_RNA from 1 species
AUGAAAUGAAUGUCGAGAAGGGUUGUAGCUGGCCUCUUGGGGCAUGUGCACACCUUGAUCGCACAUCCACCUCUCACACCUGUGCACUAUGUGUAGCUUGGGAUGAUUACGAUGUCGUAAAUGAUGUUGAAAGCCCUAGCUAUGAAUUUUUAUUAUAAACCCAUAUACAAAGUUAUAGAAUGGAUAAUGUUAUAGUGUGUAAUAGCACAAAUAUAUA